rnacentral:rRNA from 1 species
UAGAUGCGAGAGUAGAGCAUAUCAAUAAGCGGAGGAAAAGAAACUAACAAGGAUUCCCUUAGUAACGGCGAGUGAAGCGGGAAGAGCUCAGAUUUGAAAUCUUCAAGGUUUUACCUUGACGAAUUGUAGUUUAAAGAAGUGUUUUCUGUUGAAGUUUUGGUAAAAGUUCUUUGGAAUAGGACAUCAUAGAGGGUGAGAAUCCCGUAUUUGACCAUUAUUUUCAGCUGUGUGAUACACUUUCAAAGAGUCGGAUUGUUUGGGAAUGCAGUCCAAAAUGGGUGGUAAAUUUCAUCUAAAGCUAAAUAUUGGCGAGAGACCGAUAGCGAACAAGUACCGUGAGGGAAAGAUGAAAAGAACUUUGAAAAGAGAGUUAAACAGUACGUGAAAUUGUCAAAAGGGAAGCGUUUGACACCAGUGUUGUUUUCUCGAAAAUCAAUUAAAAAAGGCCGGAUUUUGUGUUGUAUUGACCUUAAAAGCUUUCUUCACUCUUUUCUUGUCUUUUUUAAUGCACUUUUCGUUUAACAAGUCAACAUCAGUUUCUUUUGUUGUAAAAGGGUCAUUGGAAGGUGGCUUUCUUUUCGGAGAAAGUGUUUAUAGCCUUUGAUCUCUGCAACCGGAGAGACUGAGGUCUGCAGCGUAGACUCUUCGGGGUUAGAUACAUUUGUGCUAAGCUAUAGCUUUUUAUAGACAACUUGUUGACUAUAGUUUAGUCUUGUAGCUUACUCGCUGAUGCUAUUUUACCUACGCUUAGGAUGUUGACACACGCGCGUGCUCG